CGUUCCGUGUGCUUCUAGCGAUGGAUUGGCUUGGGAUUUUGGGUCGGUCAAAGCGGCGCUGCUUCGUUUCUGUCCCCUCUGGACUCUCUUUCCAUCCUAUUUUUCUCUUUUCUUUCUAUCUCUCAGUUCCUAUCCCUCCCCUACCGGAGCUCCUCCCGAGCUCGCUCAUGCGGUCCUGCCUCGAUUUCUCCAUGCCUAGAGCUCUCCUGCUUGGAAGGAAGCUGCGGGAGGGGUCUUGGUUUUCUGAUUUUAAUGUGGUUUUCGGUCUUCUCUAUGGUGCCGCUGCGGUAGGAGACUCGCUCCGGCCAGCCACGCCACUUCCCUUUGCGCGCCGGCGCCAGCAGUCCGGUUUGCCUCCCCCGAGCCCACAGGAUUCCCGGACGAUCGGAGCCCGUCGCGCCGUUAUUCCCCGCCAUAGAGCCGCCCCCCUUCCAUUGCUGGACUCGGUUGUUGUGCUGCUGCCGCUGGACCGCCCUUCCUGCCAUGGCCGAUGCAGUCCCGCCGGCUGCCGAUUGAGAUGAAGCUGGGCUGCACGGGAUGCCCGCCGCCGCUCGAUUCGGCGGCCAGCCACCAUCAAAGCCAGCAGCGUCGCCCGAGUCCAUGAAGGCUUGCCAACGGCGCUGCUCUUAUGCGUCUCCACCUCCGGCUGCCACUGUUCUUCAUCUCCUGGAAGGCUGCACAUUUGGAUAGAGCGUCGGCCUUUUCCUCAUUCGGGCGCCGGCGCCGCUCCGCCUCCAUUCAACCACGCUGCCGCCGAGGAAGGCCCUACGGCAGGCAGGCCGCUCUUUGCUCCAUCAGGCGCUGCUGCGGCCGCUCUGUCUCCGUUCAACCAUCGUCAACCGGCAUCGCGGCCCACGCAACGAGGUCGCCCCCCUUCUUCGUCGCCCUCUCCGCCUCUGCGUCGCCGUUCAUGCCCGCCCGGGGACGCGCGCUCAAGGCUUCGUGCGACCAUGGUCACCGUGUGGCGCGGCGCACGCGGCGAUGUCGGCCCCCUUAUGGGUCUCCUCCGCCUCUGCGUCGUCAUUCGUACCCGCCCGAGGACGCGCGCUCAAGGCAUGGUAGGCCUACAAGUAUUCCAUGGGGCCGUGUCCGGCCUAUUCCGCUUGCCGUUCCUCCCGUUCCAGGCACAACUGCCAUGCUUCAAGGAAAUCUUGCAAUUGGCAGGCAAGAAGUCCUUCGGUAGUUUCAAAAACCACUGGAUCGAUAAGGCAUAUUGGGAAAGUAAGGAUGCAUUUCUUCCUGGAAGAUGUACCAUGCGGACGCUACAAAUGGAAAUGGUGCGUGCUGCGGGCACCUGGGAAUAUAGAGAUUAGGACACACGGCGUCACUUAUAGUUGAUGGAUUUUAUUGCCAUCAACCAUGAGGUAUACUCUCGAAACUUCAAACACUUUGUUUACUCGCCCUCUGUAUAAACCACUUGAACUGUUGGAACCAAUAUGUUGCCCCCUUUUCCCAACAAAUAUAUUAUUAUCUGAUUAUCUCUAUUUGUUGUAAUUAAAUUUGACAUAUGACAGUGUUAUUUUAACCAUUAUAAUGCUACUUAUCUAUAAUUACUUAACCCUAUUAUUCAUUCAGCUAUGAAUAGGUCAACAUUUAUUUACUAUCUUUCUAAGCUACUGAAAAGUUGGCUUGAUAAUAAUUUGGUAAAGGAAGAAGAAAAAAAAUGGUUUGGUCACUGCAAGAUAAUACGAAAUGCAGACCCAUCUGAAUUUCAGUUAUGUAUAGAGCAUACUGUUCAAGGCUUAUGCUUCUCAGUAUAUGUGAGGUACUUAUAUAGAGCAAAGAUGCCAUGUUAUUGAUAUAACAGUUCCAAUUAUUUAUACAAGGAAAAAAACUAUAUGCGAUUAAAGUUGUAAUUUCCCUCAUUAAAGCUCAUAGACAUUUCCCCCUGCAAUGUUUUGGUAGCAAACUUAAUUUAUUUUUGUGUACAAUUAAUAUUAAAGUCAGGUGACCAUUUCAGUGAAACACCAUAGAUGGGGCUGUGUACCAGCCAAAUGCGUCGAUCAAUUCAGAGACUAAUUGAAGGAAUGCUUGAUCUACACUUGAUAUGUUCAUUGUUGCGGGAGCACAGAAAAAGUGCAGAAUGACAAUCCAUCGAUACAUAAUCAAAUUUGAUCAAUGCACAAUGAUUCAGGAAGUUACUCCUCAGCCUGAUAAUUUCCCAUUGUUUGCAUUUUAUCGUUUUGAUCUUCUGGAAGCAUUUAUACCAGAUGCAUACUUUAAGGUUUCCUUUAUUCUGCACUACAGAUGUCAUCGGGGUUUUUCUGUGUCAAAAUCAUAAGAAUAUGUAAUAGAAGGUAUAUCAAACUAGAAAAGCAUCUGUGUAUGUUUUUCUUCGCCUCUAUAGCAGACCUCUUCUAGCACAGGUCGUAGUUGUUGAAGUGAAUUUGUUUUGCUCUAAAUUAUAUAUUUUAUGUGAGGUGUAUAUCUCGAAUUGUGACAUAAAUAUUACAUUUCUCGCAAUAGAGUAGAAUUGUAUUGUGACUGCUAGAGUAACAGUUCUGUUACUCUAGCAGGAGUCCUGGAACAUCAAUAUACAUCAAUAUUUUACUUUUUCUGGUUACUUCAGUUCUUAUUUUUUAUUCCAUAUGACUCUUUAAGCAAGUCAGGACUAGAUGCAAAUUAUGUAAGCACAUGAUACAAUGCUGACCAGUGAAUAUACACUUUUAUAAUCAGAUACAAUCCAAUCAACAAAUUUCUUUCCAUUUGCCAUAAAAUAACUCUAGAUCGUGGGAAACAUGUUGUGCAGUCCAAUAAGGUUACUUCUACCAUAAGAACUUUCUCAAAGAAUCUACUUCUGUCAUGUUUCUCAUGUCUUACAUGCAUCCCGGCAAACUCCACUUCAUGAAAAUUCUGAAGCAAGCAUUCUGUUGCCAACUAUGACUUCCUUUGUUGAAGACUAAUUUAUAUGCGCCAGCUUUGCAUUGCCUCGCUGAAGACUAAUUAUUAAGUGGCGCUGGUCACUUACGCACAAUGGAUAUCUGAAUAUUUGAGUGCCAUGCUUAUAUUGGUUAAUGGGAGAAAGCAGAUUCUCCAGGAAAUCACUCCCAGUGUUCCUGGAAUUAGGUGGAUUUUCCUGAGAGGCUCUUUUUAUUGAGGAACCCAAGGUAGGGAUGAAUAAGUACUGGUAGUAUCCAUGUUGUUCUCUCCAUUUAUUAAGAUGUGAGUAGUUUCCACUGGUUAUAGGAAGAGUUUGUUACAGGAACAUAAUUGCUUGGUAUGUUUAUCAAUUCCUAACUCGCUUACUCUUACAGAUUUUAAAGCCUGCUCAUGCAAUUCUAUGUGAUGAAUGCACCAAAUCCUUUCCUUAUUUUUUUGGAGGCACUCAUAGCAUGAGACACAUUGACUGCACACUCAUUACCACUAAUUAUUAGAUGAAGGUGGUGUUAGGGAAUAAGUCUAAGGCUAUGCAUACUCUGGAAUGGUUGUAGCACUAUGCUGGGUUGCAAGAGGUAUAACACCGCCUCCUUCAAUUAGUCAGUCAGUACCCAACGUACACUCAAGCCCAGUCCUACUUAGUUUGAUCCUAAAUUGAAAUGUUAGUUUGCCCCUUAGAACGUUGAAUUGCUAAUUUUUCGUGGUUCUGUAACAAUUGUUAGCAAGUUUUUUGUUGCUUGUGUUGGCAUUGGAUGAGUCCAUAUUUCAGUCCCAAGAUAUUGCUGUAAAUUGUGAUAUGUGGUCCAGAGGUACCAUUGUGUGUAUUACCAUUUGACAUUCGCAUACAUUCAUAUAUCCAGUUGGCAGUGCGGUUAGCAUGUUGUCAUAUCUAGCCAACUGAUAAUCAAAGAUGGUUGUUUAAGAACUAAACAGUUACUUUGAGGUAUCACAGAGGUAGUAGUAGGCCGACAUGGUCGACUUUACUCAAAAAAUUCUCUUUUAAAUAAUUUUUUUGGAACAUAUAAAUGAUUAAGUUUUAGAUAUAAUACAAUAAUUUUUCACCAUUCAGGUUAUAAUACUGUUAAAUCUGUCAUAACCUAAUGUGAUAAUACACAUGAGGGAUACCGAUGACCUCCACAUAAAGUAUUUUGGAAUGGAGAAAAUGGAAAUUUUUAUAAGGUCGGUUUUUGCUCUAUUCCAGUGGCAUGUAUUUGCUUAACUUAGUCAAGAUAUGAGAAUUUUCAUUCUCUUUCUCUAUUAAAUCUCACAAUGAGGAACGACAAUAGGUUGUUGAAUCCAAAUUGUUAGUCAAAGAGUUGGGUGUGGAACGAAGUUGAGACUUUGCAACAAUAUCUUAGAGAAGGUUAUGCAACAGAUCUGUAGACAACUUAUUUGUUGUGCUGGCUUAAACUACAUAUUUUUUAAAGAUUUGUUGCCUGUUGCUGCCAUGUUGUGCAGACGAGAUGAAUAUGGAAGACACCGAAAGAAUACCUGCCUUCUCCCUGGAGAAUGAAAGAUUAAGAGAGGGGGAAAUGUGAAGGAAAAUAUCAUUUCCCCCACACAUUUUUGCUUUGUGAUCUUAGAGUUGUUCAAAAAAUACUUUUUUUUUUCAAAGUUCGGGUUGCAGCCUUGAUUUGAAUAUGUGAGCUUAGGCCAAAGAUCAAAGAAGAAUCACAUAUCAGGCAUAAACUUAGAUAUCGAAGCUGCACAAGCAAUCUUUGCAGCCUAUUAGAAGGAAGGAGACACAUAAGGAAGGAGAGCAUCUCCUCGACUGGGAUAGAUGCCGGCUGCCCAAAUGAUGGCAACGCUGAGCCUUCCACGAGGAAUUCACGAGUGGCACUGUUCCUUCGUACAAUAUCUGAAGUCAAGGAAAUUGAACCAAGUAGAAAGAAUCAAGAUGAUUGUCCUAGCAUGUGUUCCACUGUGUUUUUAGCCUCUGGUUAUAUUACGAAGUGUGCAACUUGUUUUAAAUUGAAUAGUACAAUUUCAUUUUUGUUUGAUGGUGUAAUGAAAUUUGUGACGAGAUACAAACUUACCAGCUAAUCUUUAUGUUAAUACACCCAUAAUGUCUCUAUGGAUGGUUUCUAUGACAUCCAGUUUGAAUAUGGGCGAAAGUAACCAAUUUGACUAUUAGUGAAAGUGACAUCCUGAUAGAAAUGCACUUCAAAAUAAGACCAUCGUUUAUUCUAAUCCACAUUCAGUGCGGCGUGCCGCCGCGCCAGACCUUGCUAGUACUAUACUUAUUUGGUAACAAACUUCUUUUUUCUUACAAUUUUGAUUUUUUUUUGAGACUACCGACAUGCUGACACGUAUGCUAAAUUGUGGUUAAUUUCCGCAGUGAGUUUUUAGUGUACAGUUUCAAAGCUAUCUUGGAAUUUUUGUGCUUCUUUCCUUGUGUUAUGUAGUGGGCAUCGUUAUGGCCUGGGUGGAUGUAGCAGUUUCGUUUUCUCUGGCCCGCUGUGCUCCUCAUCGUGUGCCACGUACGUGGAUUUAGUUAAUCGGCUGGUCAAAGCGGUGCCCACUACCGAAUGAUUCAAGCGUUCGUUUUGCCUCAACCUUUUCUUUUCUCGGAUUCCUUUUUCUCUCCGCUCUCCUCUUUUCCAUUGCCGCCGGCGCCACAUCCUUCCAGGGCCGGCGCCUUCCUCUCUCGCUCUGUCCGCCGCUCCGUGCGGAUUUAAGUGUAGUGGACGUGUACGUGCUCGCCGGCUGAGCGAACGAAUAUGAGCGGUGGCCCUGCCCUACAGCGAGACCCUGGCAGAGCUGUGUGUCAGGCGGCCAUGGAGAGGGUCGGCUCCGGUGUAGCGGCCGUCGAGGAGAUGCUCCGGCUCCCCCAAUCAUUCUCCACCUGUGCCAUCCUUCUAUUUGCGACCAAGAUAGUAGAACCCUGGAAGAAGCUUUCAUGGCGGCUGCUCCUCCGCCCCUUGGUCCGGUCGUCUCCUCUCCUUCCUCGCUGGAGUGUGAAGGAGGUGACGCGCGCUGCGAGGCUGCGGGUGAACUCGCCGUGCGAAACCCUCCGCGUCGAGGCCCCGUGUCUUCUCCAGGACCGGCCGCUGCCUUCCCCGUCAUUCCACAGCAGGUUCUCUAGCGUGUUUGUCCCCAGCUCUUCAGAUCUGUUCAUUUUUUUCUUGGCCGCCGCAUACUGGGACUCUGGGAGACCACUUAAUGUUUGCUUAUAUCCACAUGGUUUCCUCUUGAGUACAGGAAGUUGCUUCAGUUCAUCAGUCGACGCUUCGCUUUUGGUCGAUGAGAGGUGGUUUCCUGUCAUUUGUUUCUGACGAGCGUUUCAGGUUUCACUUUCCUUUGAAUUGUCGUUGUGGUCCUUACCAGGGUUCUGCUGCUCACUAGCAACUAAGAUUUGGUAGGACGAUUUGGCUACGAAGCUUGGUUUUUCUGACCAGAAGAGGAACCUGCCAAUGGCAUAGUCAACAAUCGCUAGGGGAACACGAUAGAGGGAGCUGUGUACCAGCCAACUGCGUCGAUCAAUUCAGAGACUAAUGGAAGGAAGGCUUGAUCUACAUUUGAGAUGUUCAUUGCUGCGGGGGCACGGAAGAAGUGCAGAACGGCAGAGCAUCCGUACAUCAUCAACUUUGUUCAAUGUACAACGAUACAUGAAGUUACUCUUCAGCCUGAGAAUAUGCCUCUGUUUGCAUAUAAGGCUUAUCCAUUUGAUGUUAUGGAAGCAUGUAUUCAACAAUACUAUUCUACUGAUGCAGCCUAAACUCAGUUAUUGUUGUGUAACCUAAGUAAUAUUUUGACCCAGCAUUUCCUGUUCAGCCUAGAUUUGUCCCGGUCAUUCUCUUUUGUUCCAUAGCAUAUCUAGGGUAUUUGCAUCAGCUUCUGCAUUGGUGUUUCAUAGCGCAAGCCUUUUUAGGUGAUGAUAAUGUUAUAUUUCUUCAUUUAUUAUAUGCCUAUUCUUUAUCCAUCAUAAAGUUGGGCUAUAACAUUUGU